CGGCUCCCCGUGGCUCCCGGCGGAGCGCGGCUCGCUGCGCUUAGUUCAAACCCGCGGCGGAGCAGCGAGCCCGGCGAGCUCCGCGCCCCGCUCCGGCCAGCAGCGCCCCGGCUCCGCGGGCAGCCAGAGUCCGAGCGGUGAGCGGUGGCUGCAGCUCCGGGCCUGAGGCACGGACCAACCAGAAGGAAUGAUGUAGCAGAAUCUCCCUCUCUACCUUCCCCAGCCUGACCAUGUGGACGGAGCCAGGCAUGGUUGAGACCCUACGCGACACAGCCCCUCUUAAUUUCUCAGAGAGGAGGAGAAGAGCGAGGAAGAGGGAGAGAUUGAGACUGAAAGGCGGCUGCCAGAGAGGCACCUGGCGGCUAACGUACUGAUCCCCAGCUGGUGCCGAUACAUGGGAGUGAUCUAUGGGCGUUAUUUCUGCGUAGAGCCCACGUCCUCUCCUAGCUCUGGGGGCAGAGUCCCCGACUGGUUCCUGGCACCUUUACGGAGCCAAAGAGCAAACAAGUGAACACAAAUCUCUCUGCCCAAGUGUGAGGCUGGUUUGAGUAGGGCCCUGGGGACAUUCGUUGUGGGCUCCAGCAGGACCCUCUCUCCAAGCAGCUGCAGAGCUCAGACAGAGCUGGGCCGUCAUGGGGACCCAGACGGGAGAGGACUGAUUGCCCGCGUCUCCUUGCCAUGAGUCCAUGUCAGAACAGCACAGCUGCUCCGAAAGGCAUGGGCUGCAAACCACAAACGGUGCUAAUUGGGAUCGUGCUCACCGUGCUCAUUGUGGUCACCAUCUGCGGCAACGUGGUUGUCUGCCUGGCUGUCUCCUUCAACCGCAAGCUCCGCAGCCUGACAAACUGCUUCAUCGUCUCCUUGGCCAUCACCGACCUGCUGCUGGGCCUCCUGGUGCUGCCCUUCUCCGCCAUCUACGAGCUCACGCGCGAGUGGCACUUCGGCCCCACCUUGUGCAACAUCUACAUCAGCCUGGACGUCAUGCUGUGCACGGCCUCCAUCCUCAACCUCUUCAUGAUCAGCAUAGACCGGUACUACGCCAUCACAGCCCCGCUCCGCUACACCCAGCUGGUCACCCCUCUGCGGGUGGCCGUGGCCAUGUUCGUCAUAUGGGUGGUCUCGCUGAUGGUCUCCUUCCUGCCUAUCCACCUGGGCUGGAACACCAAUGGCACCGGCGUGCAGAACACGGGCUUGAACAACAGCUUGGUGUGCAAGCUGGCGGUCAACCCCGAGUAUGGGCUGGUGGAUGCCUUGCUCACCUUCUACCUUCCCUUGGUCGUUAUGUGCAUCACGUACUACCGCAUCUUCCGAAUAGCCAGGGAGCAGGCCAAGAGGAUCAGCCAUGCCACCUGCUGCAAGGCCACCAGCCCUGCGCUGCUCACUGUGAAAGAGCACAAGGCCACAGUGACGCUAGCAGCCGUGCUGGGGGCUUUCAUCAUCUGCUGGUUCCCUUAUUUCACAGUGUUCACUUACCGAGGGAUGAAGGGGGACGAGGUGGAUGAUACGUCCCAGUCCAUAGUUUUAUGGCUGGGCUAUGUCAACUCAGCCCUGAACCCCAUCCUGUACGCUGCUCUGAACAGGGACUUCCGGACAGCCUACCAGCGCCUGUUCCACUGUCGAAGGGUGGGGCCCCUCUCCAGGAGCACUGCCCCCCUCUCCACACAUCUGCCCCACUCCAGGGCGAGAGCCCACAAGCAAGCACGGUGCAUGCAGGAAGAAAAGCCUCUGAGGAUGCAGGUGCGGAAUGGGAAGGAGAACUCAGUCACUCAAGAAGCCACGGAAAGAGUAGACAGGAGGUGUUUCCUGUGAGCUGCUGUAGCCGCAAGCCCAUCUGGGUGUAGCUACUAAACCCCAGUGCUCCACGUGCAGGUUUCUGUUUCUGGCGAAUUCAACCAGCAAGCAAGUUCUGCUCACGUUUCCAAGAGUCAGCUCUGGCGUUUUCCCCUGAGUCUUGGCCAGCCCGCCGCAGUGGGUUCCGCUCUGGGACGCGCACUCUCAGCCUUUGAUUCCUGGCUGCCCUCCUCCAAAAGCCACCGAGGACAAACGUUAGAAGGUCACAGUUAGAUUUGCCACUGGGGGAAGCCUAAAGGCAGAGGUGGGGCCACUGGGCCUAGAGCGGAUCUAUUUGCAAACGACACCAGAGCGCAGCUGCCCCUCUCAGCCACUGACAAACCUGUAACUCCCGCCUGCGCUGGAAGAGUCUUCAGCAAUUUCCAGCCAGUUGAUUACUUCCAACUGACUUUCCAAUUGGCCUGCACCAGGCUAUUCUGCCUCAUUUCCUGGGCUAACCCCCAUGGGAACCGAUAAUGUGAACUGGCACCGUCUACCCCAGAGGUGGCUGCAUUAGGAAAUCACAUUACUGGAGCACUUGGGAUGAUUGCCUUUGUCCCAGCCCAUUUCAGCCCAAAAGCUCUGGCGCAAUUGCUGUAGGAACAGCGCCAGCGCAGCCGGCUUGCUGCUGCAGUAUGCCUCUGUUAGCCCAUCUCCCGUGCUCCCCUGCCGUAGGGUGAGGGUUUUACAGCUGGCCCCUGUGGUUCUGUGUCUGAUGAUGCCGCUAAACUCCACGGAAAGCGGGUCUGAGUCACGCAUGGAAAACUAGAUAUUUGCAGCAGGAGGCUUUAUUUACCCUCCAUUGGAAAAGCUGGGCAGGGCUUAGGCAGCGAAGGUCACGGUCACCUCUGCUGCUGGCCCACACAUACCGCCUGCUGAUAAUGCGGCCUCUGCUUUAUUGACUGUGUCGCAGGGCAAACAUCAGGGUCCCCUGUCUGCUGAGAGCCAGAUACACUUGUU